GUCAGAAUGGCCGAGUGGUCUAAGGUGCCAGACUCAAGUUCUGGACUCCAGAUGGAGGCAUGGGUUCAAAUUCCACUUCUGACA
rnacentral:tRNA from 1 species